UCCCUGGUGGUCCAGUGGGUAAGACACCAAACUCCCAAUGCAGGGGACCUGGGUUCAAUCCCUGGUCAGGGAA
rfam:Ovis aries breed Texel chromosome 12, whole genome shotgun sequence.